AAUCUACCUUAGUUACAGGGAUAGCCCGAGGAAACUCGGAUUAAUACCUGAUAUUCUUUAAAUUUCGCAUGAAAUUAAAAGGAAAGGUCAGCCGAACUAAGAUGAGCUCGCGUUCUAUCAGCUAGUUGGUGAGGUAAAAGCUCACCAAGGCUACGACGGAUAGCUGGUCUGAGAGGACGAUCAGCCACACUGGGACUGAGACACGGCCCAGACUCCUACGGGAGGCUGCAGCAGGGAAUAUUGCGCAAUGAGCGAAAGCUUGACGCAGCGACACCGCGUGUGGGAUGACGGAUCUAGGUUUGUAAACCACUUUCAGGAGGGAAGAAAAUGACGGUACCUCCACAAGAAGCCCCGGCCAACUACGUGCCAGCAGCCGCGGUAAUACGUAGGGGGCGAGCGU
rnacentral:rRNA from 1 species